rnacentral:rRNA from 1 species
AUACGUAGGUGGCGAGCGUUGUCCGGAAUUACUGGGUGUAAAGGGCGUGUAGGCGGGAGAGCAAGUCGGAUGUGAAAUCCCAAGGCUCAACUUUGGGGCUGCAUCUGAAACUGUUCUUCUUGAGUACUGGAGAGGGAAGCGGAAUUCCUAGUGUAGCGGUGAAAUGCGUAGAGAUUAGGAGGAACACCAGUGGCGAAGGCGGCUUCCUGGACAGAGACUGACGCUGAGGCGCGAAAGCGUGGGGAGCGAACAGGAUUAGAUACCCUGGUAGUCCACGCCGUAAACGAUGGAUACUAGGUGUAGGAGGUAUCGACACCUUCUGUGCCGGAGUUAACACAAUAAGUAUCCCACCUGGGGAGUACGGCCGCAAGGUUGAA